AUGGAGGAGGUACUGGAUUUAACCAGAAUUCCAGGCUUACACAGUUCAAAGGAUGUUCUCCUCCAGAACCAGUGUCAGUGUUAUAAAGUGCAAAAUGUUGCACUCAGAGUGGCUGCAGAAGUUGAAUGAGGCAGAAUAUUGAAGAAAGAGAAAGAAAUAUCAAGUAAGUAAGAAAAGUCUUGCAAAAAUUAUUUUUAGUCCUAUCCUCCUUCUGCCUGGAAAAUUAUUUUGCUUAGCACAUCUUCAGAUUUGGUGGGGAAUUGCAUGGUUUUAUUUUCGGGGUGUU
rnacentral:lncRNA from 1 species